AAUGUCUAUUCUUUUCAGGUAUUGCAAGGUAUGUCAUCGGUUGAAUCUGCCACUCCUGAAGGAUAAGAUGAAGGUACCUCCUCAGCUGCAAGGAAGCUUACCUUUUCUACAGUAUCGAGAGCAUAAAAACCUACGCCGACCGAAGUUGUCAAAGGUAAAAGAUCUUAGCAAUUAGGGUUGAAGCUUGAAGUCAGUCCAAUUAAUUCAGGCGGAAGUUGAAGAACAGUGUAAGAAAUGAAAAUCAACAUUAAUAGGC
rnacentral:lncRNA from 1 species